GCUUGUGAUGCCUGGGAAACAUAACUAAGGAACUUUACUCUCCUGUAGAGGACGACAACAUGCCAACUUCUGCCCUGAAGAAAUGCAUUCACCAGUUUGAUGUUUCUGUUUGUUUUCAAUGCUUGCUCAAUAUGUAAAGAGAGAAAAAUAAAAACUGUUUGCAGAUCGCAAGACACUCUCUUUUCCCUUUCUGCUCAUCCCAGCUAGACAUCUCGCCUUCAGUGUUAAAGGUGUGGGCCCAUAGGUACUGCCACCCCAUUAGUCACAAAAUCAGGCCAAACCAGCUUGUAAACCAUUGAUGCUAAAAUAUCACCAGAAAAAGCCUUUUGGUAGAAAGACAAGAGAAAGAAGAACAGAAGCAGAAGCUCAGGAGAUCUAUGCAGGUCACUCUGAAAUGCCUGACCACCCUUUCAGAGAAGUAGUAUUUCCUAACGUCCAGCCUGAACCUUCCCUGACGCAGCUUGAAGCCAU
ensembl:lncRNA